AUGCGAUACGUAAUGUGAAUUGCAGAAUUCAGUGAAUCAUCGAAUCUUUGAACGCAUCUUGCGCUCUCUGGUAUUCCGGAGAGCAUGUCUGUUUGAGUGUCAUGAAUUCUUCAACCCAACUGUUUCUUGUAAACAGCUGGUGUUUGGAUUCUGAGCGCUGCUGGCUUCGUGCCUAGCUCGUUCGUAAUACAUCAGCAUCCCUAAUACAAGUUUGGAUUGACUUGGCGUAAUAGACUAUUCGCUAAGGAUUCAAUGUUCUGCAUUGAGCCAACUUAGUUAAGGAAGCUUCUAAUUGAAAAGUCUACCUUUAGAUUAGAUCUCAAAUCAGGCAGGAUUACCCGCUGAACUUAA
rnacentral:misc_RNA from 1 species